GAUGAACGCUAGCGGCAGGCUUAACACAUGCAAGUCGAGGGGUAUAGUUCUUCGGAAUUAGAGACCGGCGCACGGGUGCGUAACGCGUAUGCAAUCUACCUUGUACAAAGGGAUAGCCCAGAGAAAUUUGGAUUAAUACCUUAUAGUAUAUCGAUGUGGCAUCACAUUGUUAUUAAAGAUUUAUCGGUACAAGAUGAGCA
rnacentral:rRNA from 1 species